rnacentral:rRNA from 1 species
CCCUUGUAGUGUUGAUGUUCUAACGUCGACCCCUUAUCGGGGUUGCGGACAGUGCCUGGUGGGUAGUUUGACUGGGGCGGUCUCCUCCCAAAGAGUAACGGAGGAGCACGAAGGUGGGCUAAUCACGGUUGGACAUCGUGAGGUUAGUGCAAUGGCAUAAGCCCGCUUGACUGCGAGAAUGACAAUUCGAGCAGGUGCGAAAGCAGGUCAUAGUGAUCCGGUGGUUCUGAAUGGAAGGGCCAUCGCUCAACGGAUAAAAGGUACUCCGGGGAUAACAGGCUGAUACCGCCCAAGAGUUCAUAUCGACGGCGGUGUUUGGCACCUCGAUGUCGGCUCAUCACAUCCUGGGGCUGAAGUCGGUCCCAAGGGUAUGGCUGUUCGCCAUUUAAAGUGGUACGCGAGCUGGGUUUAGAACGUCGUGAGACAGUUCGGUCCCUAUCUGCCGUGGGCGUUGGAAGAUUGAAGGGGGCUGCUCCUAGUACGAGAGGACCGGAGUGGACGAACCUCUGGUGUUCGGGUUGUGUCGCCAGACGCAUUGCCCGGUAGCUAAGUUCGGAAUCGAUAACCGCUGAAAGCAUCUAAGCGGGAAGCGAGCCCUGAGAUGAGUCUUCCCUGAUACUUUAA